UACGGAGGGUCCGAACGUUAAUCGGAAUUACUCGUCGUAAAGCGCGCGUAGGCGGUUCGACAAGUGGGAUGUGAAAGCCCUGGGCUCAACCUGGGAACUGCAUUCCAAACUAUCGGGCUAGAGUGUGGUAGAGGGAGGUAGAAUUUCCUGUGUAGCGGUGAAAUGCGUAGAUAUAGGACGGAAUACCAGUGGCGAAGGCGGCCUCCUGGACCAACCCUGACGCUGAGGUGCGAAAGCGUGGGGAGCAAACAGG
rnacentral:misc_RNA from 1 species